rnacentral:lncRNA from 1 species
GUGUGUUCAGGGUAGGGGCCAUGUCCAGCAUCUCAGGGGACCCCUCAGCGGCACACAUGACUAUCAGCGCAGACACUAACUUGGGAGCUCUGAGUCACCAGACUUGGAGAAUGCCUGUGGAUUCUUUCCCAGGGCUGGGGCAUAGGCUUGGCAGGGAUUCAGAGCCACGGUCGCCUCCGUGUGGCCUUCACACAUGGCCUUCCUGCAGCUAACUGGCAAGGGUGCCAGCAAGCGGGGCUGCUGGACGUGGGUGCUCAUCCUCAGGCCGGAAGGGAUGGUAGAGAUGGGCUGGCUGAGGCAACUCUGCCAGCAAGUGC